GGAAAAGAUACUUCCUGGAGAGAGAAGUGAAAUGGCAGAGAAGAAUGAUUAGCAGUAUAAGGAGCAUCAUCACUUCUGUUUGCCUCGGUGCAAGAUGCGAAGACAUUAACGACAGCUCCUGCGUAGGGUGGGAGAACACAGCAAGGGGAACAGCUACGUGGCCCCUCCAGAGUGGAAAAUGUUACUAAGUUAACCUCCCUGUGCCGAAUCCCGC